rnacentral:rRNA from 1 species
AUUGAACGCUGGCGGCAUGCCUUACACAUGCAAGUCGAACGGCAGCACGGACUUCGGUCUGGUGGCGCGUGGCGAACGGGUGAGUAAUAUAUCGGAACAUACCUUGUAGUGGGGGAUAACUAUCCGAAAGGAUAGCUAAUACCGCAUACGCUCUAAGGAGGAAAGUGGGGGAUCGCAAGACCUCAUGCUAUAAGAGUGGCCGAUAUCUGAUGAGCUAGUUGGUGAGGUAAAGGCGCACCAAGGCGACGAUCAGUAGCUGGUCUGAGAGGACGACCAGCCACACGGGAACUGAGACACGGUCCAGACUCCUACGGGAGGCAGCAGUGGGGAAUUUUGGACAAUGGGGGCAACCCUGAUCCAGCAAUGCCGCGCGAGUGAAGAAGGCCUUCGGGUUGUAAAGCUCUUUUGUCAGGGAAGAAACGGUUGUGGCUAAUAUCCAUGGCUAAUGACGGUACCUGAAGAAUAAGCACCGGCUAACUACGUGCCAGCCGCCGCCGUAA